rnacentral:rRNA from 1 species
UAGGGAAUCUUCGGCAAUGGACGGAAGUCUGACCGAGCAACGCCGCGUGAGUGAAGAAGGUUUUCGGAUCGUAAAGCUCUGUUGUAAGAGAAGAACGAGUGUGAGAGUGGAAAGUUCACACUGUGACGGUAUCUUACCAGAAAGGGACGGCUAACUACGUGCCAGCAGCCGCGGUAAUACGUAGGUCCCGAGCGUUGUCCGGAUUUAUUGGGCGUAAAGCGAGCGCAGGCGGUUAGAUAAGUCUGAAGUUAAAGGCUGUGGCUUAACCAUAGUAGGCUUUGGAAACUGUUUAACUUGAGUGCAAGAGGGGAGAGUGGAAUUCCAUGUGUAGCGGUGAAAUGCGUAGAUAUAUGGAGGAACACCGGUGGCGAAAGCGGCUCUCUGGCUUGUAACUGACGCUGAGGCUCGAAAGCGUGGGGAGCAAACAGGAUUAGAUACCCUGGUAGUCCACGCUGUAAACGAUGAGUGCUAGGUGUUAGACCCUUUCCGGGGUUUAGUGCCGUAGCUAACGCAUUAAGCACUCCGCCUGGGGAGUACGACCGCAANNGUU